rnacentral:rRNA from 1 species
CGCCUAUGCAUGCAGUCGAACGGGCAAAGGGGCUUCGGCCCCGGAGCUAGUGGCAGACGGCUGAGUAACACGUAAGUGAUCUGCCCCGGAGCGGGGGAUAAUCCGGAGAAAUUCGGUCUAAUACCCCGUACGUUCAUAUGGUCAAGGCUAUAUGAAGAAAGGUUUCGACCGCUCUGGGAGGAGCUUGCGGCCUAUCAGGUAGUUGGCGGGGUAAUGGCCCACCAAGCCGAAGACGGGUAACCGAUGUGAGAGCAUGAUCGGUCAGAGGGGGACUGAGACACGGCCCCCACUCCUACGGGAGGCAGCAGCAGGGAAUCUUGCGCAAUGGGCGAAAGCCUGACGCAGCGACACCGCGUGGGGGAAGAAGGCCUUAGGGUUGUAAACCCCUUUUCUGUGGGAAGAGAUAGGACGGUACCACAGGAAUAAGCAUCGGCUAACUACGUGCCAGCAGCCGCGGUAAUACGUAGGAUGCAAGCGUUGUCCGGAUUUACUGGGCGUAAAGGGUGUGUAGGCGGCAUGUUAAGUCUCAUGUGAAAUCUCCCGGCUCAACUGGGAGCGGUCAUGGGAAACUGGCAAGCUUGAGGGCAGCAGAGGAAAGCGGAAUUCCGGGAGUAGUGGUGGAAUGCGUAGAUACCCGGAGGAACACCAGAGGCGAAGGCGGCUUUCUGGGCUGUGCCUGACGCUGAGACACGAAAGCGUGGGGAGCAAACCGGAUUAGAUACCCGGGUAGUCCACGCCCUAAACGAUGGAUACUAGAUAUGGGGGGUAUCGACCCCUCCCGUGUCGGAGUUAACGCGAUAAGUAUCCCGCCUGGGGAGUACGGCCGCAAGGCUAAAACUCAAAGGAAUUGACGGGUCCCCGCACAAGCGGCGGAGCGUGUGGNUUAAUUCGAUGAUAAGCGAAGAACCUUACCUGGGCUUGACAUGCACUUGACAGCCCGUGAAAGCGGGUCUUCUUUCGAGACAGUGCACAGAUGUGCAUGGCUGU